GGUGCCAGCAGCCGCGGUAAUUCCAGCUCCAAUAGCGUAUAUUAAAAUUGUUGCAGUUAAAAGGCUCGUAGUUGAAUUUCUGCUGCAUUGCAUUUUCUCCUAUACGAGUUUUUGCAUUGUGGCUUAUUUCGGUUAUAAAAUUUAUUUUAUUUCCGGAUGUUUACUUUGAGAAAAUUAGAGUGCUCAAAGCAGGCUUUUGCCUUGAAUAGUUUAGCAUGGAAUAAUAAAGUAGGACUUUGGUUCUAUUUUGUUGGUUUUAGGUACCAAAGUAAUGGUUAAUAGGAACAGUUGGGGGCAUUCGUAUUUAACUGUCAGAGGUGAAAUUCUUAGAUUUGUUAAAGACGAACUACUGCGAAAGCAUUUGCCAAGGAUGUUUUCAUUAAUCAAGAACGAAAGUUAGGGGAUCGAAGACGAUCAGAUACCGU
rnacentral:rRNA from 1 species